AGCUAAUCAGGAGCUUUUCCUGUUUCCUAUGCAGACCUUAUUCUGGGAACUAAAGCUCUGAACUCACUUCUUUUCAUCCCCCAAGUCUUGCUACACACAACCAAACCACCCUGUUUUACUCUUUUUUUUACUAACAUGUUCUAGAGAAUACGUAUUUUAUCACCAAGACUCCCUCCUGUAAGUGUGUGCAGGUGGUAAGUCUUGUAACUUGCGUGACUGUUUGCCAUGUUCCAGCAAGUGGUCCCCACAGCACUGGAUGCAGAGUCAUUAAUGUCUUCAGAUCCAAUUGAAUUGAAAACCUUAGUCCAUACAAUGAAGAAUCAAUUGAAUGGGCUCAUCCUUAAAAUGCUGUUCUGCUGGAACCAUUCUUACUACCAAAUGCUGUAUCAGUUCAACUUCAGUGAGAAAAGCGGAACCACUAUGCAUGUAGGACCAACCAAAGAAAGCCAAAUGUUGUGUGUUCCUCUAACCUAUCACACGGACUACUCCACCUUCAGUUCACUACCUCCAGUGCCCCAGGCCGGCAGCCUCCACUUGGGCUCACCUGGAACCUUCUUUUUCCUCCAGUACAAAGUUUCUUCCCUCCUGUCUCUGCCUUUGAAUCUACGCUAAAAUGCAGGCGAUGAUAGCUGACUCUCUGGCUAUAGCAAGCUCAGAACUAAAGACUUGUGUUUCCCAUGUCUUUAUUUUUAUUUCCACACUUGCUGACUCAGUGUAAUGAAUACUGAUACAGUGACUUAUGAUACAGGACUGAGGCUUGUUGUGGGCUCUGGCUGUCAAGGUCUGUGCUCUGCACUCUUGUUGGUCUGACCAGUUUCUUUGGAUCCACCAGCUUUUUAUGUGUACCUGUGCCUGCAGGGAGGCUCAAAUUCCCUGUGUCUUUCUACUCCCCUUACUGGUAUGACUCACAUUUUAAGAGAUUUCAGGCCGUGGUGUGCUGACUCCAUUGCUUUUAGGCCUGUAGCGAGGCUGAAACAUCACGACCGCUGACCUCACGGCAGCUGAGACACAAAUGGAGGGAAAGAGCCCACCCAGGAGACGAAGCUCCCAGGGACAAGAUGUGGCCUCCAAGGUCGUGGCCUGGUGAUCUACUCCCUUCAGCUAGGCCUCACUCCUGUUUUUACUUACCUCCCAAUAACACCAUCAAUUGAGGUCACAUCUGUGGAGUAAAAGGUGAACUAAGGUGGAGCCCUCAUGAACCACUCACUCCUAAUAAGACCCUCACCUGGCAUCCAAGCCUUUACCACGGGAGUGUCAGGGGACAGUUCAAACAGUAACAAAGGCUGUCUUUGGAAGCUCAUCCAGCUGUAUGCAUUCCUUGCUGCCCAGAAUGCUGAAUCAUGGUCCUUGUGUUUAUGGCUUUGCCUCCACGAGUGAGAAGCAGAAACCUUUAUUCCAAUCUUUGCCACCAAGACACUGAUAUGGACCUUAGGCUCUGCAAAUCUCACACAUGGCUUCAGUCUGGAAAACAGUGACAUGAAGGAGCCCGUGAUGAAAAUGAAGGUAACAGUGAACUAAUCAGCAUGUCAAGGAACCCAGGCAAAACUCCAAAAGGCAACACCAGAGGGAGUGUGUAUGCUAUGACCUCUUCCCGGUGGCCAUGCCUACUGGGACUUUAUUAAAUAUCUUACAAUAUAAUUGAGGUAUACUCUGCCUUUCCUAAGAUUCUGGAGCUUCCUAUACCUAAUUUAUAAGUUUGUAAAAAAAUAGAUGAAAGUCAGUUCAAUUAUUUGCAGCUAAACCCUUACAAAAUACUUUCUCGAUCAUCAUUCAUCUGUUUUUCAAGGAGCUCAUGUUUCUAUUAUAGAGACCAAGUCAGCUACUGAUUACUCAGGAGUGUUCUGUCCUCCGGGUCACACCUGGAGAAGGAAGGCACCAUGGGCACAGCGUGAGCUACAGAAAUAAUCAGCCACAGACACCGGCAGGUGGCCAGACACGGCAAGAGGUGACAAGUGACAACCCGAACUGACUUGGAGACACUGUGCUUUCCUCCGCUACUCAGGAAUACCUAUAGGGCAUUUCUUUAUGGGUACACAGAGCGGGGGUGGGAGUACAGACUGACAAUAAAGAACAAGACGGCAAGCCCCUGAUCUGGAGACUUGGGGCAGUUUGGGCUCCAGGAGACACUAAACUGAGGACGUUAUCUCAUUUAAUCUUUCCAGCGUCUCAGAAGUAUUGUCACACUAUCGUUGUAGACAUAGGGCAUUUGAGGCUUAACGAUAUGAAGGCCCCAGUCACACAGCUGGUGAGCUGUGGACCAACG
rnacentral:lncRNA from 1 species